AGCAGCCGCGGUAAUUCCAGCUCCAAUAACGUACAUUAAAGCUGCUGCAGUUAAAAAGCUCGUAGUUGAAUUUCGGGACUAAUAUGUUGGUCGUGCCUCGGUACGUACUGGUAUUUUUGGUUUCUCCCUUCUGACGAACCUUGACGUCAUUAAUUUGGUGUCUUGGGAAAUCAGGACUGUUACUUUGAAAAAUUAGAGUGUUUAAAGCAGGCUCACGCUUGAAUACAUUAGCAUGGAAUAAUGAAAUAGGACAUUUGAUUCUAUUUUGUUGGUUUCUAGGAUCGACGUAAUGAUUAAUAGGGAUAGUUGGGGGCAUUAGUAUUCAAUUGUCAGAGGUGAAAUUCUUGGAUUUAUUGAAGACUAACUACUGCGAAAGCAUUUGCCAAGGAUGUUUUCAUUAAUCAAGAACGAAAGUUAGGGGAUCGAAGACGAUCAGAUACCGUCGUAGUC
rnacentral:rRNA from 1 species